rnacentral:rRNA from 1 species
UACAGAGGGUGCAAGCGUUAAUCGGAAUUACUGGGCGUAAAGCGUGCGUAGACGGUUACAUAAGUCGGGUGUGAAAGCCCCGGGCUCAACCUGGGAAUUGCAUUCGAGACUGCGUAGCUAGGGUGCGGAAGAGGGAAGCGGAAUUUCCGGUGUAGCGGUGAAAUGCGUAGAUAUUGGGAGGAACACCAGUGGCGAAGGCGGCUACCUGGACCGGUUCUGACGCUGAUGCGCGAAAGCGUGGGUAGCAAACAGG